UUUUUAUUGUAUAGUUCUAGCCUGCUCACUGAUAAAAUUAUUAAAUAGCCGCGGUAUCUUGACCGUGCAAAGGUAGCAUAAUCAUUAGUUUUUUAAUUGGAAACUAGCAUGAAUGGUUGGACAAAGAAAAAGCUGUCUCUUUCAUUAAAAUUGAAUUUAACUUCUAAGUGAAAAGGCUUAGAUAUCUUAGAGGGACGAUAAGACCCUAUAAAGCUUUAUAAAUUCAAAGAUUUUAUAUAUUUUUUUUAAUAAUGAUAAUUUUUCAAAAAUUUAUUGGGUUGGGGCAACAGAAGUAUAAUUAUCAAUAACUGCUAUAAAGUAUUACAAUUAUUUUUGUUAUUAGAGAGUUGUUGAUCCUCGAAAGGGAUUAAAAGAUCAAGUUACUUUAGGGAUAACAGCGUAAUUUAUCUUGAGAGUUCUUAUCAAAGGAUAAGUUUGCGACCUCGAUGUUGAAUUAAAAUGUCUUUAUAGUGCAGCAGCUAUACAAGAAGGUCUGUUCGACCUUUAAUUUUUUACAUGAUCUGUUUCCAAACCCGAGA
rnacentral:rRNA from 1 species